GCCGGGGUGGUGAAACGGGUAUACACAGGGGACUUAAAAUCCCCCGGGAGCAGUCCCAUGCGGGUUCGAGUCCCGCCCCCGGCA
rnacentral:tRNA from 1 species